rnacentral:lncRNA from 1 species
UCCACUAGGUUCACCCAUGUCCCGAGCUCAAUGCCGCUUGAUGACAUUAGCUCUCUAAUUUACAUAACAUUUUAGUUGAUGCCUCUUUAUAUCAUUAUAGUUAUCUUUCAUGUCUCAAAUAAACUUAGGUUUAAAUGCAUGAAUCAAAGCUCAUUUACACUAUAGAAAUAUAAAACCAAGUCUCAUAUAGAAUGCUAAAUGCAACCAUAGAUCU